GAAAUGCGAUAAGUAAUGUGAAUUGCAGAAUUCAGUGAAUCAUCGAAUCUUUGAACGCACCUUGCGCUCCUUGGUAUUGCGAGGAGCAUGCCUGUUUGAGUGUCAUUAAAUUCUCAACCUCACCAGUUUUGUAACGAGACUGUGUAAGGCUUGGAUGUGGGGGUUUUUGCAGGCUGCCUCUGUGCGGUCUGCUCCCCUGAAAUGCAUUAGCGAGUUCACUAAGCUCCGUCUAUUGGUGUGAUAAUUAUCUACGCCGUGGAAUGGGUUUAGAAUUGCUUCUAACCGUCUGCAAAGACAACUUUUGACAAUUUGACCUCAAAUCAGGUAGGACUACCCGCUGAACUUAA
rnacentral:misc_RNA from 1 species